GAUACCAGGGUCAAAAGGUCUUUCGCCCACAUGAGCUUGCUCAUAAGUGGGGGAAAGACCUUUUGACCCGCCCCAAUAUGAGCAUAAAAGUGGGACGAUAGUCCCACGAUAUGCGAAUAUGGGUAGGAUUGUGGGAGUGCGCAGCACGGAACAAUCCGCAGGUAU
rnacentral:sRNA from 1 species